rnacentral:rRNA from 1 species
GCUUGUCUCAAAGAUUAAGCCAUGCAUGUCUAAGUACAAGCCUCAGUAAGGUGAAACCGCGAAUGGCUCAUUAAAUCACACCUAAUCUACUGGAAAGUUACUAGUUACUUGGAUAACUGAGGUAAUUCUUGAGCUAAUACAUGCUAAAAAUCCCGACUUCGGAAGGGAUGUAUUUAUUAGAUUAAAAACCAAUGCCCUUCGGGGCUCUCUGGUGAUUCAUAAUAACUGCUCGAAUCGCAUGGCCUUGCGCCGGCGAUGGCUCAUUCAAAUUUCUGCCCUAUCAACUUUCGACGGCUGGGUCUUGGCCAGCCAUGGUGACAACGGGUAACGGAGGGUUAGGGCUCGACCCCGGAGAAGGAGCCUGAGAGACGGCUACUACAUCCAAGGAAGGCAGCAGG